CACGUCCUGCAUUCAAAACACUAUUGCUCCUAUAUUACAUCAGGCGCUCUUAAGAUUUAUUGAUUUAUUUUAAAAAAAAACAAAAAAAAAACAUUCAGGACUCGGGCAUCAGUCCGUCCCAAUCUGUAUUUGAAAUCUUCUUUAAGCACAGUUGACAGGACAAGAAUGCCAAGGCGAUGGGACUCAUUCGAGAACGUUCACCAGCAGCUGCUGUGAUUCCACUGCAGAAAAACAGGACUCAGUGGGAAGCUUUAAAAAACGUUCAGAUCGAAAAAAAUGGUGGAUUUUCUGACAGCCUGCCAAUAAAAAUGACACUUAGAAAUCUGUACAAGCAAAACUUUAGAGGAAGAAAAAAGUGAUAAAUCGCAGUCUCUUAAUUCAGGGGGAGGAGGCAAACGAACGUAGCUUCCUCUUUUGGGUGGAGCUCUGCUUUAAAGUCUUCUGUAGAUAGCCGCAGGUUUUACACCUUCGUUCACAAGAUCCAGCCCUGACUCUUCAUUUAACAGAGUAAGAACAAGAAAAGCUAUUUCAUAUAAGCAGAAACAGUGUGUGCACUCAUUGCUUCCGAGAAGGUGGCAGUGUGGACAUCUAGGCCUAGACGCUCUGUAGUGGAAUUAAAUAAAUGUUUUGUAAUUCUACAUUUUAAUUCACUUGCCUGGGAAAUUUGCAAUUCAUUUAAUGCAAUUAAACUCUUGGUAAAUGUCUGAUAAAUUUACACUACAUCAAAGUUUAAUAAAAUGUGCUAUUUGUGUUCAAAAUGUAAACAGUUUGCAUCUGUAAGUAGAUCUUAUCCCUGCGCUACUAUGAUCUAAAAAAGCUACCCCAAAUAAAAACAACCAAGCUAAAGAAAGCAUCUACCACCCAAAUGAGUUACAUCACUACACUGUUUAUAAAUAUGUAAAAAAAUAUCUAAUAAUGAAGCGCUUUCAAUUAAAAAAAAAACUCUAUGAAGUGACAAGUGCAAUAAAUAGUUAAAAAAAAAACAAUCCCCAUAAAAAAAUGUUGUGUCAUAUAAAUAAUAUACAACUCAUAUACAAAUGUGCAUUGCAAAAACAUAUCAUACAAUAAACAUGUGCAAAAAAUGUGCAGUCCAGAUAAAAGUCCCAAACACCAUACAAUAUCUGUGCAAUCAAUGGACAACUCCCAAAAUCUUGUUAUAAUCCGUUAACUUCCUCCAACGUGAGAAAAAACACCACAGUGCCCUUUACCAACCCUUAUGGGUAUCCUCUCACUUGGUACUGUGGACCCCAAUAAUAUGAGUUUAAAUGCGAUCUGUUCAUAUAUAUGUGCUGAGUAGGGAUGAGCUUCGAGUUCGAGUCAAACUCAUGUUCGACUCGAACAUU